UACAGCCAUACCAAUUUUAAAUACCGGUUUCCGUAUGAUCACCGAAGUUAAGAAACGUCGAGCCUGGUCAUUACACAGAUGGGUGACUGCUUGGGAAUAGUUUG